GACGAACGCUGGCGGCGUGCUUAACACAUGCAAGUCGAACGGAAAGGCCCUGCUUUCAGUGUAUUCGCGUGGCGAACGGGUGAGUAACACGCGCGUGAUCUGCCCUGCACUUCGGGAUAAACCUGGGCAACUAGGUCUAAUACCUGCUAGGUGCCAUUUUUAGCGUGAUGGUUGGAAAGUUUUUUGCGUUUUGGCUGAGCUCGCGACCUAUCUGCUUGUUGCUGGGGUAAUGGCCUACCAAGGCGGCGGCGGGUAGCCGGCCUGAGAGGGUGGGCGGCCACAGAGAGACUGAGAGAAGGCCCAGGCAGCGACGGGAGGGAGAAGGGGGAAAGAUUGAACGAGCAGCGCAGGGCUAAUGCAGAGGGGCCGCGGAGGGGAUGACGGCGUUCGGAGUGAAAAAUCAAUUCGCUAGGGACGAAGCAUUUUGUGACGGUACCUAGUUAGGAAGCAACGGCUAACUACGUG
rnacentral:rRNA from 1 species